GAGACUUACAUACGAACUGCUAAAUCGCCAUUCCGAGCCUAAACUCCCGGACUUCUC
rnacentral:tRNA from 1 species